rnacentral:rRNA from 1 species
CCUACACGACCGUACCGCAAACCGACACUGGUGCGCGAGAUGAGUAUUCUAAGGCGCUUGAGAGAACUCAGGAGAAGGAACUCGGCAAAUUGACACCGUAACUUCGGAAGAAGGUGUGCCUUUAGUAGGUGAACCUGUACAAGGGGAGCCCAAUGAGGCUGCAAAAAAUCGGUGGCUGCGACUGUUUAAUAAAAACACAGCACUCUGCAAACACGAAAGUGGACGUAUAGGGUGUGACGCCUGCCCGGUGCUGGAAGAUUAAAUGAUGGGGUGCAAGCUCUUGAUUGAAGUCCCAGUAAACGGCGGCCGUAACUAUAACGGUCCUAAGGUAGCGAAAUUCCUUGUCGGGUAAGUUCCGACCUGCACGAAUGGCGUAACGAUGGCCACACUGUCUCCUCCUGAGACUCAGCGAAGUUGAAAUGUUUGUGAUGAUGCAAUCUCCCCGCGGAAAGACGGAAAGACCCCAUGAACCUUUACUGUAGCUUUGUAUUGGACUUUGAACAGAUCUGUGUAGGAUAGGUGGGAGGCUUUGAAGUGUGGUCGCUAGAUCGCAUGGAGCCAACGUUGAAAUACCACCCUGGUGUGUUUGAGGUUCUAACCUAGGCCCGUAAUCCGGGUCGGGGACAGUGCAUGGUAGGCAGUUUGACUGGGGCGGUCUCCUCCCAAAGCGUAACGGAGGAGUUCGAAGGUACGCUAGGUACGGUCGGACAUCGUGCUAAUAGUGCAAUGGCAUAAGCGUGCUUAACUGCGAGACUGACAAGUCGAGCAGAUGCGAAAGCAGGACAUAGUGAUCCGGUGGUUCUGUAUGGAAGGGCCAUCGCUCAACGGAUAAAAGGUACUCUGGGGAUAACAGGCUGAUACCGCCCAAGAGUUCAUAUCGACGGCGGUGUUUGGCACCUCGAUGUCGGCUCAUCUCAUCCUGGGGCUGUAGCCGGUCCCAAGGGUAUGGCUGUUCGCCAUUUAAAGAGGUACGUGAGCUGGGUUUAAAACGUCGUGAGACAGUUUGGUCCCUAUCUUCCGUGGGCGCUGCAGAUUUGAGGAAGCCUGCUCCUAGUACGAGAGGACCGGAGUGGACACACCUCUGGUGUAUCGGUUGUCACGCCAGUGGCAUUGCCGAGUAGCUAUGUGUGGAAGAGAUAACCGCUGAAAGCAUCUAAGCGGGAAACUCGUUUCAAGAUGAGAUCUGCCGGGGCCUUGAGCCCCCUAAAGAGUCGUUCAAGACCAGGACGUUGAUAGGUCGGGUGUGGAAGCGCAGUAAUGCGUUAAGCUAACCGAUACUAAUUGCUCGUGCGGCUUGACCCC